CAUCUACUUCCUCAGUUUCAAAUUAGUUGACUCCCAUUUGUCUAGACAUGGAUGUAUUUAUACACUAAAAAAGUACAGAUACAUCCAUAUCUAGACAAGUGGGGGUCAAGUAUUUUGGAAUGAAGGGGGUAGUAC
rnacentral:pre_miRNA from 1 species